rnacentral:rRNA from 1 species
UGUGUGUUAGUGGAAGCGUCUGGAAAGGCGCGCGAUACAGGGUGACAGCCCCGUACACAAAAAUGCACAUGCUGUGAGCUCGAUGAGUAGGGCGGGACACGUGGUAUCCUGUCUGAAUAUGGGGGGACCAUCCUCCAAGGCUAAAUACUCCUGACUGACCGAUAGUGAACCAGUACCGUGAGGGAAAGGCGAAAAGAACCCCGGCGAGGGGAGUGAAAAAGAACCUGAAACCGUGUACGUACAAGCAGUGGGAGCACAGAGCAAUCUGUGUGACUGCGUACCUUUUGUAUAAUGGGUCAGCGACUUAUAUUCUGUAGCAAGGUUAACCGAAUAGGGGAGCCGAAGGGAAACCGAGUCUUAACUGGGCGUUAAGUUGCAGGGUAUAGACCCGAAACCCGGUGAUCUAGCCAUGGGCAGGUUGAAGGUUGGGUAACACUAACUGGAGGACCGAACCGACUAAUGUUGAAAAAUUAGCGGAUGACUUGUGGCUGGGGGUGAAAGGCCAAUCAAACCGGGAGAUAGCUGGUUCUCCCCGAAAGCUAUUUAGGUAGCGCCUCGUGAAUUCAUCUCCGGGGGUAGAGCACUGUUUCGGCAAGGGGGUCAUCCCGACUUACCAACCCGAUGCAAACUGCGAAUACCGGAGAAUGUUAUCACGGGAGACACACGGCGGGUGCUAACGUCCGUCGUGAAGAGGGAAACAACCCAGACCGCCAGCUAAGGUCCCAAAGUCAUGGUUAAGUGGGAAACGAUGUGGGAAGGCCCAGACAGCCAGGAUGUUGGCUUAGAAGCAGCCAUCAUUUAAAGAAAGCGUAAUAGCUCACUGGUCGAGUCGGCCUGCGCGGAAGAUGUAACGGGGCUAAACCAUGCACCGAAGCUGCGGCAGCGACACUAUGUGUUGUUGGGUAGGGGAGCGUUCUGUAAGCCUGUGAAGGUGUGCUGUGAGGCAUGCUGGAGGUAUCAGAAGUGCGAAUGCUGACAUAAGUAACGAUAAAGCGGGUGAAAAGCCCGCUCGCCGGAAGACCAAGGGUUCCUGUCCAACGUUAAUCGGGGCAGGGUGAGUCGACCCCUAAGGCGA